CCCAAGGGCCACACGUCUACACUCCCAGCGUGAGGCCCACCGGAAGUUAUCUUGCUCCCUCUUGCUUCCUGCUCCCUGGGCGCCAUGAGAAGCUCUGACAGCAGAGGCAGCAGAGCGGACUUCAGUUUUGGGGACCCUGUGAACUCCGGUCACCUGCCGCCCCGGGCGCCGCCAUCUUGCUAGGAUUAUGUAACCGGAAGGGGCUGGUCUUCUUCCACCUGCCCAGUUCAGGCUGUGACUUCUUUUCUUAUGGCCACGCCCCCUCCCGCUUUCCAAGCCUCUCCUUAAAGGCGCCCGCACUUUUUAUUCUUACGGAUUGCUGGGAGCGCCCUCUCAAUAGGCUUUAAAAUAGGGCUUCGCAGCCUUUCCUUGGGACAUGGUGGGCGGUACUUCCUGUUAGAGGAUCUUCCUUCCCUCUGAGUGUUCACAGUCCCCCUGAGUUUCCCUGUUGCUUCAGCUCUCCCGUCUCCCUGCUUAAAAUGGGGAGGGAGGUGACUUAGAAUCUGACUGCGUCAUUCUCUAAGCCAGGGUGAGGGAAGGGAAAGAUGGAGGGCGUUGGAGAAGUUAAGACUUCAGGAUAAGAGACAGAGGUAUUUACUGAGCACCUACCACAUGGGAGGAGCUUCUGGGUGCUGAAGUUACCAUGGUGAACAGGACAGACCAAGUCCCUCUCUGAGGAAAUCAACAUUCUAAGCAGGGAGAGGAUGGGGGAAUCUCUGCCAAGUGGACAUCUGGCUGCUGGGCCAGCUGUGCAGCCUGGGGCUGGAGAUGGGGGCACUGCAGGAGGAAGUGGUUGCCUUCCUGGAAGAAGAGGAGAAAGAGCAUCGAGGAAGAGGAGGAGGCCGAAGAGCCCAAAGGAAAGCAGGAGGAAGGACACAUGGGGAUCUCCUACCUUGGUCUUUCCCACUGCCUCCUCAAGUUUGAGAUGACUAUCUGAGGCUCUGCCAGCGUGCUUCUAAUUGAGACGGGAAUGAGAUGCAAAUUUAUGCAAAGAAGAGGGGAUGUGCAGGUCAAAUCAAGUGAAAUGUUGAUUUGGAGCCCACAUGUGUUCCUUGAACAAGUACUUUCUCUGAAGAUGUCUGAGAUGAGACUGAGGGGUUGGCCUGUGAGCUGUGGGCAUGUUUGUGGGUGAUCAGGGAGGUUUGUAGAGAAACUCUAGGUGUAUUUGCAGAGGAGCCGCAGGUGUGUUGCAGAGGAGACGUGGGUCUCUGCAAAUAUGGUGGAGAUGUGGGCAGAGGCUGUUGUGCACCUGAGACGUGGCUAGCCCUAUUGAGAUGCUCCGUAUGUGUGACAUAUACACCAAAUUUCAAAGGCUUGGUAUGAUAAAGAGAUUAUCAAACAUUUCAACAAUCUUAAAAAUUAAUAACAUAUUGAAAUGAUAAAUAUUUUGACUAUAUCGGGAUAAAUAAAAAUAUUACUAAAAUGCA